UCCCUGGUGGUCCAGUGGUUAAGACUCCACGCUUGCACUGCAGGGGGCCCGGGUUCGAUCCCUGGCCAGGGAA